rnacentral:rRNA from 1 species
UACGGAGGGAGCAAGCGUUGUUCGGAUUUACUGGGCGUAAAGGGUGCGUAGGCGGCUUUGUAAGUUAGAGGUGAAAGCCUGGAGCUUAACUCCAGAACUGCCUUUAAGACUGCAUCGCUUGAAUCCGGGAGAGGUGAGUGGAAUUCCGAGUGUAGAGGUGAAAUUCGUAGAUAUUCGGAAGAACACCAGUGGCGAAGGCGGCUCACUGGACCGGUAUUGACGCUGAGGUGCGAAAGCGUGGGGAGCAAACAGG